rnacentral:rRNA from 1 species
UCGGGAAUUUUGGGCAAUGGGCGAAAGCCUGACCCAGCAACGCCGCGUGAAGGAUGAAGUAUUUCGGUAUGUAAACUUCGUAAGAAUAGGAAGAAUAAAUGACGGUACUAUUUGUAAGGUCCGGCCAACUACGUGCCAGCAGCCGCGGUAAUACGUAGGGACCAAGCGUUGUUCGGAUUUACUGGGCGUAAAGGGCGCGUAGGCGGUGUGUCAAGUCAGUUGUGAAAUCUCCGAGCUUAACUCGGAACGGUCAACUGAUACUGCCACACUAGAGUACAGAAGGGGCAAUCGGAAUUCUUGGUGUAGCGGUGAAAUGCGUAGAUAUCAAGAGGAACACCUGAGGCGAAGGCGGGUUGCUGGGCUGAUACUGACGCUGAGGCGCGAAAGCUAGGGUAGCAAACGGGAUUAGAUACCCUUGUAGUCCCUGAGCGGGCUGGCAAGGCGCAU